rnacentral:rRNA from 1 species
CCUACGGGAGGCAGCAGUGGGGAAUAUUGCACAAUGGGCGCAAGCCUGAUGCAGCCAUGCCGCGUGUGUGAAGAAGGCCUUCGGGUUGUAAAGCACUUUCAGCGGGGAGGAAGGCGGUGAGGUUAAUAACCUCAUCGAUUGACGUUACCCGCAGAAGAAGCACCGGCUAACUCCGUGCCAGCAGCCGCGGUAAUACGGAGGGUGCAAGCGUUAAUCGGAAUUACUGGGCGUAAAGCGCACGCAGGCGGUCUGUCAAGUCGGAUGUGAAAUCCCCGGGCUCAACCUGGGGACUGCAUUCGAAACUGGCAGGCUAGAGUCUUGUAGAGGGGGGUAGAAUUCCAGGUGUAGCGGUGAAAUGCGUAGAGAUCUGGAGGAAUACCGGUGGCGAAGGCGGCCCCCUGGACAAAGACUGACGCUCAGGUGCGAGAGCGUGGGGAGCAAACAGGAUUAGAUACCCUUGUAGUC